ACCGUCUGCAGGCAGGAGCCACCGCGGGCACUGCUGGUGGGACACCGUCCCAAAGGGCUGCAGGGACACGCCAGUCCUGGAGCAGGGACACCAGCACCAACCAGCAGGCCAGAGCACCCCUGCCAGGGUUUCAGACCAUUCCUGCCUCAGAGGCAGUGAACAGUGGCACCAGGCCAGCUAGGCACUCUGAUGGCUUGACGCAGCACCCUGCUGUGCAGAGCUUCCCCUUGCUUCCCAGAGGAAUUAGGCUCUUCAGCAGAGCUCAUGUCCCACAUGAAGAGCCUAAAUCCAGGAACCCAUAAGCCCUCACCCAGCUUUUCCAUGCUCCCGCAGAGCUCAGCUGUGCACCCUCUGCACCUCCCCACUCUGCAAGUCCUGUGCAGCUUUUAGACCUGACCUGCAGAGGAAUCCUGGGCCACCAUUGGACAAGGGCAUUGCCCACCCUCCUGCUCCCAUCCCCUUGCAUCCCGCAGUCAGUUCCCAAAUCUGGGGCUCUCCUUUAUGGCCAGCAGGACUUGGUGGGCUGCAAGUGUCAAAGGGCAGCAGUGCCAAACUAACAGUGUACCAAGAGCUGCUCCUCCUCCUCUUUCUCCUCCUCCUUGUGCAGUCUCACCAGGUCUCAUCAGGCAAAAGCAACUUCCUGGUGUUGCACACAGCUCCUCACCAGCUGUUAGGAAGGAGCUUCUGGUUUCAAGGGAGGGGGCCUCAGAGAGGCUUGUCCAGAAUGCUUCAGGUGGUCUUCAGCAAGGAGGUGAGCACACAGGAAAGCAUCCACUGAUGGAAGAUGAUGCAUCUGGAGGGGAGAGACGCCAUGGUGAGGCACCUUCGGGCAAAGUUCCAACAGAACAGGAAAGAACCUCCCACCGUGGGUGGCUGGCCACAGAGUCACCCUGCAGCCUCUCAUGGACCAGAGCCAGGACAGACCUCUGUCAUGGCCUCCAAGGGUGAUCCUCUUCAGGAGGCUCCCUGGAGCAGGAGGGACUGCAACAGGCCCUCUCCACCUCACAGUACAGGUCAGAGUAUGGGACAGCAUUCACCUCAUUCUGCCUGCGAGACCCCGGCAUGAAUGGUGUGUCAGAAGAAGGGGACAGCUCCAGGUGCCAACUUCCACCCAGUGCCUGCAAAGCUGGGAGGAGAUGUGUUGAACAAGAAGGUGGAAGCUAGCUCUGAUCCUCCCCACAGGAAGCCAGCCCAACAGACAUGGCCACCUGCCAAAGAGCAGGUGAGCUCCAGUGAUUCUUGCCAAAGGAGCAGCUGCUGCAGCCCCCCUGCUUGCUGUGGGAAGCCCCCAAAGGACACAGCACCCAGCUCUGCCCCGGAGGAAGCCUUUGCCACAUGUCAGGGCACUGGGAGUGAAGCCAGGCAAGCCCCGGCGCCCUCCUGAUGUGGAUUUGGCAAAGUUCAGAGCAGCUGCACAUCCUGGGAAAUCCAUCUGUCCUGCCACAGAACCACCAAGGAGUGCUCAGCUGGGUCACCUGCAACCAGGCUGUGCUGCUUCAGUGCCUGCACGGUUUCCACUGCAGGAUGCUCCGAGUGGCAUGGGGGAUGAAGAUGAGAUAUACGAUGAUGUUGAGCCUGUUGAGCUGGCCAGGAGAAGCCCAGGCCUUCUGCUGCCUUCUGUGUCCCAGCUGCCAGUGUAUCCCUGCCCCAGAGGAAGUGAGUAC